AUUGAACGCUGGCGGCAGGCCUAACACAUGCAAGUCGAGCGAGCGGCGGACGGGUGAGUAAUGUAUGGGGACUGCCCGAUAGAGGGGGAUAACUACUGGAAACGGUGGCUAAUACCGCCUACUAUCGGAGAACCCAUAUGGGCUUAGCUAGGAGGUGGGGUAAAGGCUCACCUAGGCGACGAUCUCUAGCUGGUCUGAGAGGAUGAUCAGCCAAAUUGGGACGUAGACAAGGCCAAGACUCCUCCGGGGGCAGCAUGGGGGAAUAUUGCACAAGGGGCGAAAUCCUGAUGCAGCCAGGCCGCGUGUAUGAAGAAGGCCUUAGGGUUGUAAAGUACGUUCAGCGGGACGGCGGUACCCGCAGAAGAAGCACCGGCUAACUCCGUGCCAGCCGCCGCGGUAAUAC
rnacentral:rRNA from 1 species